AUUGACCUCAAAUCAGUAGACACGGAAGUCGAUUAU
rnacentral:rRNA from 1 species